GGUACCGUAGCCAAGUGGUAAGGCAGGGGUCUGCAAACCCUCUAUCGUGGGUUCGAUUCCCGCCGGUACCU
rnacentral:tRNA from 1 species